ACACGAACCGCACGAACGUUAUUCGGAAUCACUGGGCUUAAAGGGUGCGUAGGCGGUCCGGUAAGUUGGGUGUGAAAGCCCUCGGCUCAACCGAGGAAUUGCGCCCAAAACUACCGGACUUGAGGAAGACAGAGGUGAGCGGAACUUGCGGUGGAGCGGUGAAAUGCGUUGAUAUCGCAAGGAACACCAGUGGCGAAAGCGGCUCACUGGGUCUUUUCUGACGCUGAGGCACGAAAGCUAGGGGAGCGAACGGGAUUAGAUACCCGGGUAGUCC
rnacentral:rRNA from 1 species